UACGAAGGGGGCGAGCGUUGUUCGGAAUUACUGGGCGUAAAGGGCGCGCAGGCGGCUCUGAAAGUCAGAUGUGAAAGCCCCGGGCUUAACCUGGGAAUUGCAUUUGAUACUCUGGAGCUUGAGUGUGGGAGAGGAGAGUGGAAUUCCCAGUGUAGAGGUGAAAUUCGUAGAUAUUGGGAAGAACACCGGUGGCGAAGGCAGCUCUCUGGACCACAACUGACGCUGAGGCGCGAAAGCGUGGGGAGCAAACAGG
rnacentral:rRNA from 1 species